ACUCCCCCCCCUCUCUCUCUCACCAUUCCUUCCACCUUCUCUCCUCCCUCAUUAAUUGUUAUUCCUUAGAACCCUAACCGCUGCUUCACUCAACCUUCUCUCCUCCUCUCGACGCGUUUCUCAAGUCGUAGUCGACGGCGAAUCAGUCCCCAUCACGACGAGUUUCUCACGGUGUAGAUGAUGAAGAAUCAGUUUAGACGACGUCGAAUCGGUCGAUUCUCUACAUCUCCGACGGCGGUGUGAAAGGUUCAACGAGUGUAAGAAUCGAUUAAGAGGGCGACUUUGACGUUACCAUGCCCGUUGCGUUAGCGCAACGACUGGCUUUAAAGAUAUUCAAAGAUGUGCUACAUUGUUAUUGUGUUGUAGUAUGCUAUGUGGCUAAAUUGUAUUUAAUGUAUAUGUCACCUACUGAGUAAUGUAGAUUAUAAUUCGUUGCUUAAGGGGCAGAAGUUAUAUCCAAUCCCCUAGGGUUUAGUAGUCCAUGAGGCUAGGGUGUAGUACCAACCCAAUAGCACAACGUUCAGUAAAUGCAAGGAGCUAGAGUGGUUCUUGUAGAGUUCAAUUAUUUAUUGUUUGGUGUAGUAGUCUUUGUUGUAUUCUUACACUUAUUAAGUUA